UACAUGGGCUAAGGGACAAAUGCAAGGUGACAGGGACUGGCCAUGCCUUCAGUCAGACAUGUGAAGGCUUGGGAGAAAAAAUUAUAACUUCAGUGGUUGCAAAAACUCUGGUCCCACAACUCACUUUUUUUUCAGGUUGGCAACUUUUCAUCCCAUUUGCAUUAUUCUCCUUGUUCUUUCACCUACAGGGUUUGGUUCCUGCAGCACACCAAAGCCUUCAUAUUCAGAGCAGUGAAACCAUUUUUAUCUAUGCUUUGUCUGACUCUGGUUGAUUUUCUUGCAACCUGAGCUCAGUGUAAAGCCUCCUUCUCCUUCCAGAGAUGGGAAGUUCACACAAAUCUGCAAAUUCACACAAAUCUGGUAUUGUGAGUGUUCCUGCAACAACGUAUCAUGGAACAGGACUUCUUUUCAGUCUGGAGAUAUAAGUCUUGAGAUUCUAGUCUUACUGACCUUGCACUGACAACCAGCCAGCUAAUUCUGAUUGACCAGUAUCAUCUUCACAAAGAAAUGAUGAUUUCAAGACCCUUUUUCUCCAGAAUCAGUCAAAAGCUGCUGAAAGGAUUGUUUCAUGCUGGCAAAAUCUCCCAUGGCAAAGUCCAAGAGAAAAUUGAAGGAAGAUCUGCAGUUUUCAGAGUUUUGCAUUCUUGCUGUUGGCGUAUUCAGGAUUUGCCAUGCAGAGUAACCAGUGAGCACCUGCUGUGCUGCCCAGGGGAUGGGGUGCUCCUUGGUUCCUCACACCAGCUCUGACCCACCAUGGUGUCUCCUCAAGCCUGGCCCCAAGGAGGGAAGAUGCUUUUGGUGAGUUUGGUGCCUGGAAUUUGUGAUUUUAACAUCCUGCUUGACCUUCACCAGCCUCAUCACCCUGAAUUUACUGUCUGAGCUCUCUGAGCUUUAGUUCAGGCUGCAAAUCCUAGGGCACAAUGCAUAACUCUGAUGCUUGGGCCCUUGAUUUGCUGACAUGUGUCUUCAUCUUCCAUCCUCCACUUCCUUUUCCCUUCUCCUCCCCCCAACCCCAGCUUUCCACAGCCACAGCAAGCCCUGCCAGUGAAUUCUAGCCUUUGUCUUCACCCCAGUCAGCAGCAGCCUCCAGAUAACAAAAACAAUGAUGCCAUUUAUCUUUCUCACUCUCACAACACAGCAGUGACCACAGGCUCUUUGCUUUGCCUCUCAAAUCAGUGAGCAGCUCACAGAAAUACUGAGGUUCACUCCUGGUUCUCCAGUGCUCCUCUCUGGCUCCAGCUCCUCUUUGUGCCUGAGGUCACAAUUUUGAAAUCCCACACCAGGCACAGACUGAGAGGGCUCCAACCAUGCAGGAGCAGAGAAGGAGCCUGCACCCUCCCUAGGUAGUAUGAAAUUUGUGCAGAAAGCUCAAUCCUUCUCUUCCAGCCAGCUUAAAGGGGGAAAAAAGGGUGGAGUAGAUUUUCUUCCUCUCUUCCAAGCCCUGAAUGUUUAGCAUAUGGGCCAUAAAAUUUCCCUAAAUUGCCCAAGGGAAAAUCUGUGUGGUGCAGAUAUUGUACCAAACCAGGUCUGCAGAGAGCCUUAAAAAUCCCAGCCUGGGAAGCUGAAACCAGGAGUAAAAUCCUUGUAUAGUCCACAGACACUUCCCAGCAGCCACAGAUGGUGCCAGGUAGCUGAGCAGCCUCUUGUCAUUUUUUAUUUAUUUUAUUUUUACUGGGGCUUGCAGCAGCUUCUGCUGAUCUUCAGAACCCUCAGUUCUACUGCGCUUAAUGUCACCACUCCCAUGCACUGGUCACCUCAGCCUCAGUGCAGAGGAGAUGACAUCUCCCACGUUUCUUUUCCAGCAUGGUCUGAGUCCCAGCCCUACAGCAAACCUGCUCCUGCACUCAGCUGUCAGACUCCAAGCUCAGCAAAACCCUCUCUUCAAAUCCACUGCCUGCCAAUUUUACAUGGAGCAGUUCCAGACUGUGAGAGAAGCCAGUCCAAACCUCUGGCAAACACUUGUCUCAGCAAUGGGAGCUGCAUUUCAGCUGCUCUGCAAAUUCUCCCUGCUGUGCUCCAUCCCACUGCAAGAGUCACAAGCCUGUGUGUCAGACACAGGGAGAUGAGAAGCUGCUGAUUCUGACCCUCUUCUCUAGACUGGGAGUUCUUGUAAAUCCAUAUCCAUUGGGUAUGGUCAUUACAGUAAACCAGAACAGGAAAAAACAGCCCAAAAGGAGAAUUUGUUUUGCCUUCCCAGCAGGAUCUCACUCACCCUCAUGAGUAACUGUGACAUAGCUGUUCCCUGUGAGUUUGAUUUCCUGCCUCUAACAAAGCUACAAAACCUUCUGCUUUAAUUCAGCUAUUUCAUCUUCUGCUCAGGACUCUGUACUGAUAUGAGAAAACCAAAGCACAUUCAGGGAAUUCUGUGGGAUUCCAAAAUCAGGGACAGGGACCCCAUCAAUGGGGCUCCCUCAUGGGACACAUCAUCAGUGCAUGAGAAAUCCAGAGGAAAAGGGAAAGGUGAGCAAAAAAAAGAUCUGGGUAUGAGCUGCAAAACAGGAACCCAGUAGAGCUGUUGACAUCAUGAAAGCCAGAUGAAUUCCUCACCAAAAAUAAUGAUGAAUAAAAUGCCUUGAAUAUUUGCUCACAGAAACAGAGCUGUUUUACCCUGAAUAUGAAUUAGGGAAAUAACAGAGCACAUGAUUUUGUGGGGGAAGGAGUGCUGAUGAAAACAGAGUCAAAAUCCAUGGAAAAUCUGACAAACUGGCAAAGAUUGGGCAGUCCCUUUGCUGGGAGAGUCCUGCAGGACAUGAAUUCAUCCCUGUCAGGAAAAAGACCCCAGUGCUGCCUAAGGAAGAGUUCAAAUCUGGUAGGAAAUGCAGUCAUGAAGGGACAGAGUUCACAGAGAGGAAGGAGCACUCAGAGGGAAACCAAGCUCCAUUUCUUUGGUGUUUGCAUCAGAACCACCCCAUUGCAGCACCAGGGGCCACUCCCAGUGCCUGGGCUGGUCCUUGCUGUGGGCUCUGGUGACCAAAGUGCAGCUGGCAGGGGACACCAGGGCUGUGGGUGGCUCUCUGAGCACAUCUGCCAGCUCACCCUGGCCACAAGGUGACACAUGGCUGCUGCUGCUCCUGCCAAACAGAUGCAGAAGUCACUGCUCCAUGAAGUUCCCAGUUGUUUAGAUUGCUCCAAGGGCAGGUUUAGACUCUACCCCAGAAAUUAUCUCCCAAAUAUCUUUAUCAGCCACCUGCAAUGGGAAACUCUGUGCCAUUCUUCCCCCAUUAGACCUGUCCUUGGCAUGGAGAGGAGCCCAUGGGCAGGAGGUGGGAUUGUGCAUCCCCCUGCUCCAUUUCACAGCAGCCUCACACAGCAGGACUUAGCUAGACCCAUUUUUACAGAUAAAUACUUGUUCCCCAUCCUGGCCUUACUUCUCAUCUGCUCCCAGUUGAACCAGGCUGCAGGCUGGAGCCAACAUUUCCUGCUGAGUUAAGGAGGAAAGGAUGGAAAAAUAAAUGGCUGUGGGGGAAAAAAAUAGCUCCUGAUAGUUCCUUAAAUGGAUUUGUCUACAAUCCAAAAGAAAUACAAUAAACUCAAAACCCAUUUUCCAACAACAUUAAAGAGCUAAUGAGCAUAGGUCCAAGUAGGGCCAGAAGAUCUGGCUCCCAUCUAGCACAGAUCAGAAGAACUACAGCUAUUUGUAGCAGAUGAGAUCCAUCCCUGUCAUUUUACAGUUAUUACAGCUAAAAAUCAAUUGUUCUUUCUUCCUGAGAGGUUUUCUGGCAACCUCCUGCACUCACUAUCAGCACUCCAGAGCCACCUCCCCAUGGAUUUCACAGCACCUGCUCCUCCUUCCAAGGCAGGAACACAAAAUUUGCCAGGGCAGCCCAGUUCCUCCCUCUGCUCUGUAAUAGUUCACAGCCCAUAAUCCCCUGCUCACCAGCUCAUGUCCUUGUGUUUUCCUGAUGGCAGGUGCUUCUGGGAGCCCAGUAACCAUCCCUGGUGGGAUCCUCUUUGUCCCAGGGAUGGCAGGAGGUGCCUGAGCUGACUGGCUUUCCCUUGGUCUCUCAGGAACAUUAACAUUUAUUGGUGUUUGCUGAGCCCUGAGCAGAGCUCAGCCCAGCUCAGGAUAUAAAACAGGAAUCUCCUCACACUUGAGUGUUAAAUAAAGACCCACAGGUGCUUUGGCAAGUAGUGCAAGAUUGUGAGAGCCCUUCAGGGUUUGCUGAGGGCUUCUCAGAGUGAAGAGUGCUCUUCUGGAACCCCAAACUGUCCCUUGUGCAGCUCAAAAAUCCUCCUUGUGCCACCCUUCCACAGGGUGAGUGCACCUCUGGGCCCACCUGCACCCAGACCAAAAACCUCCCACCCUAGGGCACUGCUUAUUCUAAAUGAUGAACCAACACUGCCUCAGAGUUGGAAUUUAUCAUUAAAGAAAAAAACAAAAGUGUAUUUUUCUAUGUAUAACUCACAUCUCAAAUAAUCUCCGUAAAAAACAGAACACUGAGAAUGUAUCUGAAGGUCAAGGGAGCUGCUAAGAGUGAAAUAGCUCUGAGAUAAACUCCCUCCAUUACAUUUCAGCAGGACUUUCUUGUCCUUGUUUAUUCUGACAGAUUACCUGCAAGGUCACAGGCAUACAGAGAAGAAAAUGGUUCUGCUUUAUCUCACUGCACUCAGAGGGAUUCAGUUGCAUAUAAAGAACUAUUCCAAAUACUUGUCAAGAUAAUUUCUACUGGACAGGAGAUCACCUUUGCUGUGACAUUCAGAAAUGCUUUGCAAGCAUUUAUAGACAAGGUUGCUCAGUAAAAGUGUAUCAAGCACCAGUUGUAUUGUUUUUAUAUUUCAGUACAGACUAAUUGGAAUAUGAAAGCUUUUAAGUAACAGCCAAGAGUGGUUAAUGCUCCACCAGAUUAUUAACUUGUACACACUACUAAUCAAAGAUGAAACAAGUGAAAUUGCAAAUUAUAUGUAACAGACCUAGGGACAGAUCUGAGCACAGGGCUCAGGAAUGCUAUUCAACUCAACAGGAAUACAUUGUCUAAACAGAUUUUAAAGAAAAUCUUGGGCUUAGUGACUCACAUAAGAGUCAUUCAUUAGUACUCUAUAAUUUCAUCUUCAGCUACAAUUACGCAGUUUCAGCUGCUUCCCAUGAGCAGAAACUUGCUUUCCUGUUCUCAGGUGUCAUUCUGGAAGUUUCUUUGGAGAACAGGCCCCUCUGAGUUGUCAUUCUGAAACAUUCAGCAUCAGAGUUUAUCCUCUGGAAGGACAGGGAUGUAUUAUCUUCAUUCUUCUUAUCUAAAUGCAAUCCUCUGUAUCAUAUAAACUACCAAAGAGUUGAGGGGGCUUCAUUCUCACCCUUCCAGUGUCCUGUUGGGAGGUUUCUUUACACUGGAAAGAGCUCAUUUAUUGAGAGAGAUUAAUUUAAUCAUCAGCCUGUUAUCCAAGAGCAUAAACAAAACCAUUUCUCAUGCUCUGGUGAGCUGGUUCUAUGUUUCAUUGGAAGAGCUAAUUUUGCUCUAUAUACUCCUCCAGAAGAAACAUUCCAAACAUCAGCAUCCUCUCCAUCACAGCCAGGUCUCAGCUGUGCCUCCCAGAGUCACUUCUCUCCUGGCUGUUGUUUGUUCUCACUUGGACUGAGCACAUUUCUCUUUCCCCUGCUACGCCCAAGGCCAAACAAAGCCUGUUCACAUCUAGUUAGCCAUUAAGAGCUGUUAGUUAAUUGGUGCCACGGGGACUUCAGACUUUGGGUGAUUAGCUCCACAAAUCCACCGUGCAAAGGCAAAAGGCCUCUGGAGAAGUUUAAACAAGGGUGUGGGUUUUCCUGUUUAAUUUUACCUGCUGAACUGAAUACUGCUGAUGAUCAUUCAGUAGUGAGUUAUUUCCAUGGCAAGCAAGGGAAUGGGAGACAUCUCAGUGGUGCCAAGGAGGGGAGUGCAGAAAUUCCCUCCUCGUGGAAUAGCUAAGGCAGCCUUAAGCUCAAAAGAUGCUUCUUUAUGCCUGAGUGCUCAAAGGGCAGAUGUUAAGCCUUCCUAGGAGGAAGACAGGCAAUAGGAAACUGUAUUUUUUUUAAAGGAUUAACUCCUACGUUGGAGGAUGAGCCAACCCUUCCCUCUCUCUGCCUCCUGCUGCUGUUGGUACAGAGAACAGCGAAGGGAGCUGCUGGUUAGGAGCAAAAGGAAGA